UAUACCGUAGCUUGCUACACCAUAGACUGUGAGUUGCGAACGGGUGAGUAACGCGUAGGUAACCUGCCUAUUAGAGGGGGAUAACUAUUGGAAACGAUAGCUAAUACCGCAUAACAGUAUGUAACACAUGUUAGAUGCUUGAAAGAUGCAAUUGCAUCGCUAGUAGAUGGACCUGCGUUGUAUUAGCUAGUAGGUAGGGUAAAGGCCUACCUAGGCAACGAUACAUAGCCGACCUGAGAGGGUGAUCGGCCACACUGGGACUGAGACACGGCCCAGACUCCUACGGGAGGCAGCAGUAGGGAAUCUUCGGCAAUGGGGGGAACCCUGACCGAGCAACGCCGCGUGAGUGAAGAAGGUUUUCGGAUCGUAAAGCUCUGUUGUUAAGGAAGAACGAGUGUGAGAAUGGAAAGUUCAUGCUGUGACGUACUAACCAAAAGGC
rnacentral:rRNA from 1 species